rnacentral:rRNA from 1 species
AAUGAACGUUGGCGGCGUGGAUUAGGCAUGCAAGUCGAGCGUGUACCCGCAAGGGGAAAGCGGCAAACGGGGUAGGAACGCGUAGGUCACGUACCCCUCGGCCGGGGAUAGCCACGGGAAACUGUGGGUAAUACCCGAUGACGCCGAGAGGCCAAAGGUGUGAUUCCGCCGGGGGAGCGGCCUGCGUAGUAUUAGCUAGUUGGUGAGGUAACGGCUCACCAAGGCGAAGAUGCUUAGGGGGUGUGAGAGCAUGACCCCCACCACUGGGACUGAGAUACUGCCCAGACACCUACGGGUGGCUGCAGUCGAGAAUCUUCGGCAAUGGGGGCAACCCUGACCGAGCGACGCCGCGUGUGGGAUGAAGGCCCUUGGGUUGUAAACCACUGUCAGAGGGGAUGAAACGAUCAUGGGUUCUCCCAUGGUCCUGACAUAGCCUCAGAGGAAGCACGGGCUAAGUUCGUGCCAGCAGCCGCGGUAAUACGAACUGUGCAAACGUUAUUCGGAA